rnacentral:rRNA from 1 species
ACUCCUACGGGAGGCAGCAGUAGGGAAUCUUCCACAAUGGGCGCAAGCCUGAUGGAGCAACACCGCGUGAGUGAAGAAGGGUUUCGGCUCGUAAAGCUCUGUUGUUAAAGAAGAACACGUAUGAGAGUAACUGUUCAUACGUUGACGGUAUUUAACCAGAAAGUCACGGCUAACUACGUGCCAGCAGCUGUGGUAAUACGUAGGUGGCAAGCGUUAUCCGGAUUUAUUGGGCGUAAAGAGAGUGCAGGCGGUUUUCUAAGUCUGAUGUGAAAGCCUUCGGCUUAACCGGAGAAGUGCAUCGGAAACUGGAUAACUUGAGUGCAGAAGAGGUAGUGGAACUCCAUGUGUAGCGGUGGAAUGCGUAGAUAUAUGGAAGAACACCAGUGGCGAAGGCGGCUACCUGGUCUGCAACUGACGCUGAGACUCGAAAGCAUGGGUAGCGAACAGGAUUAGAUA